rnacentral:rRNA from 1 species
AUGGCGUUGGGGGACCCAUCCUUUGUCGCGUUGCGGGGUCUUCGGCCGGAACUUCACAGCGGCCCUGGACGACAUGAUUCGUUGGCGGAGAUGGGCACCGAGGCAGCGGCCCCGGAUUUCUUCGGCGGCCUCGACUGCCGCUGUGGUCGCGAGCGCGGCAUGACGACUGGUUCGGGUGCUCAGUGCGGCUCGGCUACUCAUAUCCGCGUGGUGCGGGUGGUGGCGGUGGUGCCCACCAAGAUCUCCGGCCUACUGUUGGGAGCCGGCGGGUGGCGCGCUCCUUGGGUUCUUUUUGCUCUCAGAUGGUGUUCUGCCGGUUGCUGGCCCCCAUGGAUCUGGCCGUUGACGAAUUGCUGGAUCGGAUGGGAUUCGGUCGUGUGCGCCCCUAUUUCAGUCCGAGCUUCAGGAGGGUGUGACAUAAAGCUUCGUUUGGCAUUGGCAAGUGGGGGCGGCAGCACAGGCGGAGUACAGAGUCUUAGCUUUCAGCGUGAAAACCCAAGAGCGCAGAUGACGGUGCUUGUGCACUGUUUCCUUUUUGGAGGCGUCACUUUUGGAGUAUUUGGACUUCGGAUGAAUGCGUGCAGCCCCUACCCUGCCUGCGUCGAUCAAGGUGGCUUCUUUGAGCUACCUCUCUAUAACCACACAACCACAGAAGAGCUCAUGUGCUCAUCACGCAUGUGUGGAACGAUUUUCAAAUCCAUUGGGCAGCUCUGGCGCCUAAUCUCAGCAAACAAAUCCACCACAAAUCGAAGAGCUAUCCUGGUGCGGAGCAAGAUUGUGAUUAGGAGGAUUGAGAACAUGAGCAGCAGGCAGGUCACCUCCUCCAAGCGGCGUCGUAGCCUGCUGAAGAAAGCACGUGAGCUGGCCAUCCUCUGCGAUGUCCAGGUCGGCGUCAUCGUCUUCUCUUCCACUGGUUGCCUCUACGAAUAUGCCAAUCCACCGCCACCAUCACCAUGGGCAUGGCCAUGCCUUCCAUCAUUCAAAACUACCAAUCUGCACAAGAGCACCAUUAGCUGUUAA